UACAGAGGGUGCAAGCGUUGUUCGGAAUUAUUGGGCGUAAAGCGCGUGUAGGCGGCUUUGCAAGUCGGGUGUGAAAGCCCUCAGCUCAACUGAGGAAGUGCGCCCGAAACUGCAGAGCUUGAGUGCCGGAGAGGGUGGCGGAAUUCCCCAAGUAGAGGUGAAAUUCGUAGAUAUCAGGAAGAACACCCGUGGCUAAGGCGGCUCUCUAGUACGGUACUGACGCUGAGACGCGAAAGCGUGGGGAGUGAACAGG
rnacentral:rRNA from 1 species